GAAAAAAUGUAAGAUACUUGAGUAUAUACUUAGGUACAUAAUAAGUAAAUAAUUAUAUAUGUAAGAAAUUAAUACAAGCUUUUAGCUAUUGGCUUCAAUUAGGUAUAGCUGGUGUACAAUAUUGAACUGUUGUUGUUAAUGUUGGCUAUAAUUGUAACUUAAAGAAAACAUUUUAAACCAUAAAUGGUAAAUAAUAGGACGUUUUUAAAAUAUGUUGCUAUACACUAUGUAUGAAUAAAUUAUUUGAUUGUAUUUUCAAAAUUAAUUUUAGAAUGGUUGUUUUAGUUAAAUGUGGACUGUUGUUUGCUUCGAAGACAACAGUAUAGCAGCUGUACCUCAAUUUUGGUUUGAGAGAGGAGUAUGCGCAUGGCUCAAAAAAUCACCAAGAAAAUGUAUAGAGCGACGCAUAAAACCAAACAAAGUGGAUUUUCAAUACUUAAAAUCAAAAAUUAUUAAAAAUAACAUAAUCUAAUUGAUGCCCGUUCGUUUGCUAAAGAUAAUUCCGAGGUUUCUUCAAAUGAAAAUUAUGUGUUUGAAGAAUAUAAAAAAAAUCGAAACAAAAGUAUUCAACGGUCAAGUGCUGGUUCAUCUAAGGAAUUCAUUGUUCCUAAACUUCCAACGGUUUCUUCUGAUGAAUCUGAAGAUGAAGAAAAUCCACGCAAUUCAUGUUAUCCAGAUGCAUCAUCAUUAUCCCAAACUGAUGAACUAUUCGCCAAUAAUAGUCCAUCAAACUCUGUUGAAUCUAACACUAGUAAAAAAAAUAUUUCGAGAUCAAAUUCAGAAA